UAAGGGAAUGAUUGUAACUCUGCAG
rnacentral:piRNA from 1 species